rnacentral:rRNA from 1 species
CACGUAGUUAGCCGGGGCUUCUUGGUCAGGUACUGUCAUUUUCUUCCCUGCUGACAGGGCUUUACGCACCGGAGUGCUUCUUCACCCACGCGGCAUCGCUGCAUCAGGGUUCCCCCCAUUGUGCAAUAUUCCCCACUGCUGCCUCCCGCAGGAGUCUGGGCCGUGUCUCAGUCCCAAUGUGGCCGUCCACUCUCUCAAGCCGGCUACUGAUCCGUUGUCUUGGUAGGCCGUUACCCUGCCAACUAACUAAUCAGACGCGGGCCCAUCCUGUACCACCGUGGUUUUCCCUGCUGUGCCAUGCGGCACAGCAGGCUUAUGCGGUAUUAGCAGCCAUUUCUGGCUGGUUCGUCCCCCGGUACAGGGCAGGUUCGCCCACGGCGUUACUCACCCGUCCGCCACGUAGGUUUAUAUACUCCUUCCCUCCGAAGUACGUUCCGUUAUACUAAACCCCGUUCGACUUUCGCUAUUGUGUUAGGCUAGUGCCGCCGAGUCGUUCACUCCGU